UCAGUUGCAAGGGAAAAUCCAAGACAACAGAUAAUACAUUUCCAUUAAGAGGUGGGUAACCAUUACCAGACUUGCAAAGAAUGUGGUAAAGACCCUUGUAAACUUUCACUCUCGUACAACAACAAACAGUUUUGGAGAAGGCAAGAGGAGAGUUGGAGGUUAUUAGGAGAUAAUUUUUAGUAAAAGCUAUGUGUAUGCUGUGGGUCUCAGCACCCUUUUUUUAAAUUUUUAUUUUUUGAGACGGAGUCUCACUCUGUAGCCCAGGCUGGAGUGCAGUGGCGCGAUCUCGG
ensembl:lncRNA novel transcript, antisense to HDGFRP3